rnacentral:rRNA from 1 species
UUUAAGAUUUUAAUUUAAAGUNUAAUNUGCCCAAUGAAUUUUUAAAUGGCUGCAGAAUUUUAUACUGUACAAAGGUAGCAUAAUAAUUUGUUUUUUAAUUAAAAACUAGAAUGAAAGAUUAAAUGAAAUAUAAACUGUUUCAAUUAAAUAAAUAUUAAAAUUUUUAUUUAAGUAAAAAAACUUAAAUUUUAUUUAAAGACGACAAGACCCUAUAGAAUUUUAUUUAUUAAAUUUUAAUUAAAAUUUAAUAAAUUUUUUUGGGGUAAAAAAAAAAUUAAAAUAAUUUUUUUUAAAAAAAACAUUUAUUUAUGAAAAAUAUAUCUUAAAAUUUAAAUUUUAAAAAUUAAUUACCUUAGGGAUAACAGCAUAAUUUUUUUUAAAANAUCUUAUUUAUAAAAAANAUUAU